rnacentral:lncRNA from 1 species
GCAGAUAUGCCGGCCGCCCUAUAUGGAAGUAUUGUCUGAUAUAGAUAGAGAGGAUUAGGGGAGGAUCUCAAUCACUAUGAUUGAGGAUCUGAUUGAGGAUCUCAAUCACUAUGAUUGAGGAUCUGAUUGUACUCUAGAUCUUUCCUUAGGUGUAGAAGGCUUCCUUUUACCUCUCACCUUCCUCCCUUAUAUAUACCUGUACAUGUGCUGUCUAUCUUUAUCAAUAUACAAACACACGCUUCCAACUCUCUCACAUGGUAUCAGCCGCCUAGGUCCUGAUUCCUGCCCUCCACCCCCGCGCGCCUCCUCUACGGCGCUGCUUCUCCCCAUGGCCGACCUCCAGCCAACCUCUCCGGCCAUCACCGAUCCUGACGGCGACGCCUCUGCUGAUUCUGAGCGCGCGGCCCUGGCUGCCCGUGAGGCUGCUUUGGCUCGCGCCGCCGCUGCAGAGCAGGACGCCGCCCUCGCCCAGCGCGAGCGCGACGCCGCCGACGCCCGCAUCCGUGCGGCCCUCGCCCGUGCAGCUCACGAGCGCGCGGCGGCGGCCCUCUCUCCCCCCAUCAACGACCUCACCUCCGACGGCACUGGUGCUGACUCCGUCGCCCCGUUUUCUGCCGCUCUUCUCCAAACGAAGCGGCUGCACUUCUCAAUCUGCACGCUCAAGCCGUCGCCGUGCAGAACAUCCGGGCCCUCGUUCCACUCCUCCUCGACGUCAACUCCACCUUCUACUCUCGGUGGCGUGAGUCCUUCCUCCUAACCCUCACCAAAUUCUCUCUGGAUUGCCACGUGCUGUCUGAUGCUGUCCACCACUCGCCCGACUGGACUCGCAUGAACGCCGUUGUUCUGUCUUGGAUCAACGGCUCCAUCACCGACAACCUCGCCGAUACGAUCUCCGAGCGCGGUGCAUCUGCUCGCGUCCUGUGGCUCGCCAUUGAGUCCCAAUUUCUUGGGAACCGCACGACGCGCACUCUAUACGCCGACCAAGCUUUCCGCUCCUUCACUCAGGGCGACCUCUCCGCAGCUGAUUACUGCCGCCGCUACAAAAAGCUUGCCGAAGAUCUUCGCGAUCUUGGCGAGCCGGUCUCCGACAGGACCCUUGUCCUCAACAUCAUUCGCGGCCUCAACGAACGCUUUCAAGCGCUCGGCCUUCACCUCCGUCGCACCCCCCCUCUCCCCACUUUUUUGCAGGUCCGCGAUGAUCUUACUCUGGAGGAGCUCACCAUGACUAAUGCUGCUCCUGCAGCAGCUCUCGCUGCUGUUACUACACCACCUGGCGAGAACAGCAGCUCCAAGUCAUCUACACCCACCACUCCCGCUGGGCGUUCUUCACAUCAGCGCCCGCCCUCCCACCAUUCUGGGGGCGGUUCCGGUCAUGGCUCCUCCUCCGGACAACGCGGCAAGCGAGGCAAGCGCGGUGGUAGAACCUCCAGCAACAGCAGCAGCGGCAUCAUUGGCCCUGCACCCUCCUCCAACUACAACUACUACAACCCUUGGACGGGGGCCAUCUACAUGUGGCCUGGCCAACGUCCACCUUCGACUCCUCGUCCGCCUGCUGCCUCGCCCCCACCACCACAUGCCUUCGUCGCCGGCACUCCUGGUCAGUGGGUUGUCCCUGCUGCAGCAUAUGGGCCGCCCCCUGCCUACGCCGAUCCUUCUACGCCUGCACCCGUCUGGGAUCAACACACCCUCGCUGCCAACUUCCAAACUGUCACUCUUCAGCAGCCACCCCAACAAGAGUGGCACUUUGACACUGGUGCCUCCAGUCACAUGACAUCUGACGCUGGUAUAAUAUCUCAUCCCCCCUCUUCCCAGCAUCUUCCUACUCAUAUUGUCGUUGGCAACGGCCAGCUUAUCCCUGUUACCUCCACUGGCACCACUCGUCUUCCCUAUAACCUUUCUCUUCAUAAUGUUCUAGUUUCCCCCUCGCUCAUUAAGGAUCUGAUUUCUGUCCGUCAAUUUACCACUGAUAAUAAUUGCUCUGUUGAAUUUGAUCCUUUUGGCUGCUCUGUGAAGGAUCUUCCCACUCGGCGCGAGAUCUUCAGAUGUAACAGCUCUGGUCCACUAUACCCCCUGCGGUUCCCGGCCUCUGCUCUUCUUGCAUCUACCCUAUGGCACCAACGACUUGGACAUCCCGGUCCCGCCGUCUUAUCACAUUUAGCGCAGUCAUCCGCAAUUUCCUGUAAUAAAAACACUAGUACUCAUCCUUGUCAUGCUUGUCAACUCGGACGACAUGUCCGUCUACCAUUUCCUAUUUCUUCCUCCCGCGCCACCUGUAAUUUUCAGUUAAUUCACUGUGACCUCUGGACAUCACCCAUCACCAGUGUGUCUGGCCACAAAUAUUAUCUUGUUAUUUUGGAUGACUGCUCUCACUAUUUAUGGACAUUUCCCUUACGUCUCAAAUCUGACACCCUUUCCACCUUAACCAAUUUCUUUGCCUACGUUCGUACGCAGUUUAGUGUCCCUAUCCAGAGCAUCCAGUGCGACAAUGGUCGCGAAUUUGACAACCUUCAAGCCCGCAAUUUUUUCUCCUCCCAUGGAGUCCAUCUGCGCAUGUCUUGCCCCUACACUUCAGCUCAAAAUGGUAAGGCUGAACGUGUCAUCCGUUCCAUCAACAAUAUCAUCCGCACCCUCCUCGUUCAAUCCAGUGUUCCCCCCAAUUCUUGGGUUGCGGCUCUUGGGACUGCAACAUACCUCCUCAACAUCCUACCCACAAAAACACUCGCACUCUCUACACCGCAUUUUGCUCUCUUCGGUCACAACCCAUCCUAUGACCACCUUCGCGUUUUUGGCUGCAAAUGCUACCCCAACCUUUCUGCCACCACUCCACAUAAAUUAUCCCCUCGCUCAACCCUUUGUGUCUUCCUUGGCUAUUCCCCCCACCACAAAGGCUACCUAUGCUUUGAUCGCCACUCCAAUCGCACCAUUAUCUCCCGUCAUGUGGUUUUUGAUGAAACCUCGUUUCCCUUUUCUGAGGCUUCCCAUCCACCCCCACCAGCGGCCUUCGAUUUCCUUGACAAUUACACUAACCCGGUUGCAGCUCCUUUUGGACUGUCGCCCGUGUCUUCUUUUUCAGGUACUCGUAUGCCACCACCACCCCCACCGGUGGCCCCUUCGCCGGCUGUGCCCCUCGUCUCCUCAGAGGUGGCAUUUCAGCCACCUGCCGCGCCAGCUGGGCCUGCCCCAAUGUCCCAGUCUCCUGCCCGGAUGGCUGGUCUCCCAGGCGCAUCGGCACCAACAAUACUGCCGCCUGGGUCUACUACCGUGCCCGACGUCCAUAGAACGUCAGCUCCUGCUGAUCGUUUCUGCGGACGGGUCUACUCUCGACGCCCGCCCACCGCUACUGCUCCAGCACCUUCUCCGACGACCGCCACUGCACCACCUAUUCCUGCUGGUGCAGUCCCUGUCGAUCCAGUGGUCAACCACCACAGGAUGACAACCCGCGGCAAGAGUGGUCUUCGGUUUCCUGCUCUUUUUGAAGCCGCCGCACUGUCCCCCAUUCCGAGGACAUAUCGCGCAGCCCUUACUGAUUCAAAUUGGCGCUCCGCUAUGGAACAGGAAUAUUCUGCUCUUAUUGGUAAUCACACUUGGGAUCUUCUGCCUCGACCGCCGAAUUGCAAUGUUGUGACUGGCAAGUGGGUUUUCAAACACAAGUUCAAAGCUGAUGGUUCUCUUGAGCGCUACAAGGCAAGAUGGGUUCUUCGGGGUUUCACUCAACGCCCUGGUAUUGAUUUUUCAGAAACUUUCAGUCCAGUGGUCAAGCCAGCUACAGUCCGGACCGUUCUUUCCCUGGCUCUCUCACACAGAUGGCCGAUUCACUUGCUUGAUGUCAACAAUGCUUUUCUUCAGGGGACCCUGUCAGAAACUGUUUACUGUGUUCAGCCCACCGGUUUUGAAGAUUCCACUCAUCCUGAUUAUGUGUGCCGUCUCAAUCGGUCACUUUAUGGCCUCAAACAGGCCCCUCGUGCCUGGUACAGUAGAUUUGCUUCUCACUUGAUUCAAAUUGGAUUCGUUGAGGCCAAGUCUGACACUUCAUUAUUCGUCUACCACAAGGGCACAGAUAUGAUUUACCUUCUUCUUUACGUGGAUGAUAUUGUGCUAACUGCUUCGUCCAUGAAUCUUCUCCGGCAGACUAUUACUGCUCUCCAACAGGAAUUUUCACUGAAGGAUCUUGGUCCCCUUCAUCACUUCCUGGGCAUGCAUGUUCAACAAUCUGCUUCUGGCAUCACUCUUUCUCAGCGCCAGUAUAUGAUUGAGAUACUUGAGCGAGCUGGUAUGAGUAACUGCAAACCCUGUACAACUCCUGUUGAUAUCAACCCCAAACUUUCAGCCGACGGUGACCCUGUCUCCGAUCCCACAGAAUUCCGCAGUCUUGCCGGCGCACUACAGUACCUCACCUUCACCCGUCCGGAUAUUGCAUAUGCUGUUCAGCAAGUCUGUCUCCACAUGCACGAUCCUCGGGAACCUCAUUUGGCUGCUCUCAAGCGUAUCCUGCGCUAUAUCCGAGGCACUCUUCAGAUGGGCCUUCACCUCAGUUCCUCUCCGCAAAUGGAACUUGUGGUUUACUCUGAUGCUGAUUGGGCUGGCUGUCCAGACACUAGGAGAUCUACUUCCGGUUAUGCUGUUUUCCUCGGUGCUAACCUCGUCUCAUGGUCUUCAAAGCGCCAGAACACGGUCUCCCGCUCCAGUGCCGAAGCCGAGUACCGCGCUGUUGCCAAUGCAGUCGCUGAAGUAUCCUGGUUACGACAGUUGUUGACAGAACUGCAUGUUCCUCUCCCCAAGUCCUCAUUGGUCUACUGUGACAACAUCAGUGCUGUUUAUAUGUCCUCCAAUCCUGUUCAGCAUCAGCGCACCAAGCAUGUGGAAAUUGAUCUUCACUUCGUCCGUGACAAGGUCGCCCUCGGUGUUGUUCGCGUGCUACAUGUCCCGACGACUUCCCAGUACGCCGACAUCUUCACCAAAGGCUUACCAUCAGCAGUCUUCACUGAAUUUCGGACCAGUCUUACCGUUCGCUCCACGGACGCUAACACUGCGGGGGGGUGUUAGAAACUGUAUCCUGGCUGUCGCCUGGCAGAUAUGCCGGCCGCCCUAUAUGGAAGUAUUGUCUGAUAUAGAUAGAGAGGAUUAGGGGAGGAUCUCAAUCACUAUGAUUGAGGAUCUGAUUGAGGAUCUCAAUCACUAUGAUUGAGGAUCUGAUUGUACUCUAGAUCUUUCCUUAGGUGUAGAAGGCUUCCUUUUACCUCUCACCUUCCUCCCCUAUAUAUACCUGUACAUGUGCUGUCUAUCUUUAUCAAUAUACAAACACACGCUUCCA